rnacentral:rRNA from 1 species
GAGGAAGGUGGGGAUGACGUCAAAUCAGCACGGCCCUUACGUCCGGGGCUACACACGUGUUACAAUGGGGGGUACAGAAGGCAGCUACACGGCGACGUGGUGCUAAUCCCGAAAGCCUCUCUCAGUUCGGAUUGGAGUCUGCAACCCGACUCCAUGAAGCUGGAUUCGCUAGUAAUCGCGCAUCAGCCACGGCGCGGUGAAUACGUUCCCGGGCCUUGUACACACCGCCCGUCAAGCCAUGAAAGCCGGGGGUACCUGAAGUACGUAACCGCGAGGAGCGUCCUAGGGUAAAACUGGUGAUUGGGGUGAAGUCGUAAC